AUGUAUUGGUUGUGAAGUCCUGUUGUUGGUUUUGUUAGUGAGUUAUGUCAGUUUACCGAGUCUGUAUUUUGAGUUCCGCCAAUAAACCCUGGUCCAAGCUGCA